UUCUUUUUCUUUAUUAAAACUUGAUUUUUAAACACACACGUGGACAAUUCUCCAGCGUCCACCCUUGCAAAACCUGUUCCAAUCCCCCCUCCCCCUCCCCAGAUGGCAAAUGACCCAAUAUAUGUUAAACAAUGGAAAUACAUGUUAACUCCAACAUAUGCAGACACAUGGAUACAGUUACCUGGCGGCGCAAGGAAAAUCAAGUCAAACCGGGAACAAUGCAAGCAAACAACAGAGUGAGAGCGCCGUGUCGUGCAGCCCCUCUGGGGGCAGGCGGCUCUCCGGCCAAGCUCAUGGGAGUGGCGUCUCCAGUCUCCAUCAGCACUGAGAGCCACCCCCCAGCCCCGAAGCUUGGAGGACCAGGAAGCGGUCAUGGGAAGCCCCAGAACAAGGCGGCCUGGGAGGAACUGUGGCCCCCGGCUGCGGAGGGAGACAGACACGUUCCUUUGUGAAAAUGAGGGCUAGCACUGGCUCCCUAAAACUGGAAGGAAGCCAGCCAGGUCUGCUUAAGUCAGUGGCAAGGUCACGGAGGUGAGGCUCCUCAGGGCUCCUUGCUCCGGCCUUUCUCCCCAUCACCAAACCCUUGGGCUCAAUCCCUCACCCACCCAGGGCCUGGGAUGCCUUUCCUCCCGUCUGGAGCCAUCUCUGGCUUCUCCAGAACUUCACCUUCGGCAGGAAGCCCCCCUCCCCCCAGUCACCGUCUCCCCUGUCCCUCAACACCAUGUAGACAGACACGGAUAUCUCGUCUCCUUGAUUUGAAGGCGGGGACAUCAUUUUUGCCUUGUGCUCCCAGAAUUUGGCCCUCUCCUGGUACACAGUAAACAAUAAAUGUUCGUUGACUGAUUUUUUCUUCAUCUGCAUGAACUGAUUUCUAAGUUCUGACCUCCUUCUUCUGGCAAUGAUGUACGUUAAGUUUGCUUUGGAAGCAUCGUCGGCCGUGUGGAUGUCUGUUCUUUUAUCCAUUUCUCAUUGUAGGUGGGGAUUGUCUCAUUAACCCCUCCUACAGAAAUUAUACAGUUACAGUUAAGAGAACUGGAAUUUUAGAUAAUGACAGUUUAACGGUCCUUAGAAUAAUCGGUGGGAAGUCAGAGUUUAAAUGGCAU
rnacentral:lncRNA from 1 species